rnacentral:rRNA from 1 species
GAUGAACGCUGGCGGCGUGCCUAAUACAUGCAAGUCGAGCGAACGGACGAGAAGCUUGCUUCUCUGAUGUUAGCGGCGGACGGGUGAGUAACACGUGGAUAACCUACCUAUAAGACUGGGAUAACUUCGGGAAACCGGAGCUAAUACCGGAUAAUAUUUUGAACCGCAUGGUUCAAAAGUGAAGGACGGUCUUGCUGUCACUUAUAGAUGGAUCCGCGCUGCAUUAGCUAGUUGGUAAGGUAACGGCUUACCAGGGCAACGAUGCAUAGCCGACCUGAGAGGGUGAUCGGCCACACUGGAACUGAGACACGGUCCAGACUCCUACGGGAGGCAGCAGUAGGGAAUCUUCCGCAAUGGGCGAAAGCCUGACGGAGCAACGCCGCGUGAGUGAUGAAGGUCUUCGGAUCGUAAAACUCUGUUAUUAGGGAAGAACAUAUGUGUAAGUAACUGUGCACAUCUUGACGGUACCUAAUCAGAAAGCCACGGCUAACUACGUG